GCGGGGGGAGGCGGCCCCAGCGCCGCCCGCGCGAGGGGGGCAGCCGCCCCAGACAGGUGAUGGGCGUUUCGGCUGCGCUCCGGAUCGACUCCUUGGGUUUCACUUUGGUCUGAUCUAAGCAAAUAUGCAGAAGUACCGGCUGGUCUAGUCCUAAGAGCCAAGAGGAGCGAGCGAGAGCGGCAGAAGGGAGAGCAGCCACGCUCCCGUAGCGAGGGGAACGUACAAACAGCGUCCGCGCCGUCAUUAAACCACCGCCGCCCCGGGCAGCCCCGACCCACCCUGGAUGCGGAGGACCCCCGAGCCACCCCGCUGCCUUUCCCCUGAGGGAUGGUACUGAAUUCCUGCGCGGCAGGAGCCGGCCUGCAGCCCCUCUCCAUCAGCGUUGCCUUCCCUCCGUGUCUAAAGUGCACGAGACCGCGAUGAGGACCUGGGCUUGCGUUUUGCUGAUAGGUUUUGGGUACCUGUCCUUUACCUUCUCCGAGGAGGCCGAGAUCCCGCAGGAGCUCAUCGAGCGGCUGGCGCACAGCGAGAUCCACAGCAUCCGCGACUUGCAGCGCCUCCUGGAGAUUGACUCCGUAGGAUAUGAUGAUGUUUCAGAAACAAACUUGAGAUCUUACAGUGUUCAUUCUGCUAAACAUGUGCAAGAGAACCGUCCUGUGCCCAUUCGCAGAAAAAGAAGCAUUGAGGAGGCCAUCCCGGCGGUGUGCAAGACGCGGACGGUGAUCUACGAGAUACCUCGGAGCCAGAUCGACCCCACCUCGGCCAACUUCCUGAUAUGGCCGCCCUGCGUGGAGGUGAAGCGCUGCACCGGCUGCUGCAACACCAGCAGCGUCAAGUGCCAGCCCUCCCGGAUACACCACAGGAGCGUCAAGGUGGCAAAAGUGGAGUAUGUUAGAAAAAAGCCAAAAUUAAAAGAAGUUCUGGUGAGAUUAGAAGAGCAUAUGGAAUGCACCUGUACAUCAUCAAAUACUAAUUCAGAUUAUAGAGAAGAAGAAACUGAUUAACAGGUAUUUAUUGGGAGUAGUAUGAUAGAAGCAAAGAUUUUCUAAAAUUCAACUUUAAAAGUGAGCAUGUAAACUCAAUCAAAACAGCAUUUAGAACUUCUUGUCCCAGAUGUAAGGUGAAAAUAAGCUAGAAAAAAAACUUCUCUCUGGGACAUGGAUGUACAUGGUUUGUUACAUUCCUGAACCUACUAUGUAUGGUGCUUAUUGACUGUAUACUUUAUUUGUUCUCCUGUGUGAAAAAACUGGCUCAAAAGAACACUUAAUGAGAACAAAGAGACAAUGUACAUUUGUUUAAUGUGACAUCAAAGCAAGUAUUGUAGCACUCUGUGAAACAAUAGGAAGCUUCCCUGUCCAAAAAAGAAAAAAAAACGAAAGAAAGAAAAACAGAAAAGAAAAAAAGACAGUUGAAUGAAUGGAAGAUACCAAAAGUACUCAAAAACAUGACAAAAAUCUAAGUGAAUAGUGGAUUUCUGUCAGAGCAGUCAACGGUGCUUUACGUCAAGAAAUGUGCCUGCGUUCUUGAUGAAGAUGGAUGGACACUGGUGGACUUCAGGCACAAAAAAAGCAGGAAUGUAUGAAAUGAUCAAAUGCCACGCAAACACUAUAGAACAAUACAUCCUUGCUUGGUGGUGUUUUAAAAGUCUAUACAAAAAAACCUUCUGGGGAGCCUUAAGUGGAUUUUUUUUUUUUUUUACACCAUAAAGUGAUUAUUAAGUUUUCUUUUUACUCUUUGCCUAGCUUUUUAUUAUCUCUCGGACUACAUUUGCCAAUAACACAUAUAAAAGACUGGUAUAACAAUAAGCAGAACACGAAACAUUAUGGUAUUUCUCCUAGUGGGAUGCAAACUAAUGAGAUGUAUUAAAAUAAAAAUGGUAUACCUAUGCAUAAUUUUCUAGAUGUUUCUUGGUUUAUGUUCCCCAACCUCCCCCGUAAUUUAAAGCAUUACAUAAAAGAAAAAAAAAUAAAAAGUGAAAAAAAAGGACAGAUGUGCGUAAACAAAUCAUAGGAUAUCCAUGCAAAAAUCCUUAUUUUUUUUCUUUAAGACUUAUGCCAGUUGCCUACUAGUGAUAUUGUGUUAGCAAUUGUCAUUCUUAUCAGUAUACAGAUACUUUUAUUUCACAUGUUGGAGCUGUGUGAAAUGUACAAAUUCUUGUAUCUGCAUUGUAUAAUGUCAUGGUGGCAUGGGAACUACCUUGCUGCAAAUAUUUGAACAAAACCUAAAAUUCUUUAUUUUUGGUAAAAUGUUAUGCUUUAUGUGUAUUCAACAGAAAUAUGUGUUUUUGUAAAGGUGAAGUUUGUAUUUUUAUCUAAAAAUUAACAGUUUUAUAUACCUGA